AAGCUGGCGAGUCCCAAAUAGGACGAAACGCGCGUCCUGGAU
rnacentral:hammerhead_ribozyme from 1 species